rnacentral:rRNA from 1 species
AACGAACGCUGGCGGCGUGUCCUAAGCAUGCAAGUCGAGCGGCAAGGCGGGUAACCGCCCUAGAGCGGCGGACUGGUGAGUAACACGUGGGUGAUCUACCCUUGGUUUGGGGAUAGCUCGUGGAAACACGGGGUAAUACCGAAUACGUCGGCAUGGCUACGGCCAUGCCGGGAAAGGCGCUAAGGCGCCGACCGAGGAUGAGCCCGCGUCCCAUUAGCUAGUUGGUGAGGUAAAGGCCCACCAAGGCGAUGAUGGGUAGCCGGCCUGAGAGGGUGUACGGCCACACUGGGACUGAGAUACGGCCCAGACUCCUACGGGAGGCAGCAGCUAAGAAUAUUCCGCAAUGGACGAAAGUCUGACGGAGCGACGCCGCGUGGAUGAAGAAGGCCGAAAGGUUGUAAAAUUCUUUUGUCGGGGAAGAAUAAGCGUGGGAGGGAAUGCCCGCGUGAUGACAUGAACCGGCGAAUAAGCCCCGGCUAACUACGUG